AACGAACGCUGGCGGCGUGGAUAAGACAUGCGAGUCGAACGGGAUUACUUCGAGUAGCAAUACCUGAAGUAAUUUAGUGGCGAACGGGUGCGUAACACGUGGGGAAUCUGCCGAGAAGUGGGGGAUAGCUCGUCGAAAGGCGAAUUAAUACCGCAUAUGAUCAGGGAAGACAUCUUUCCAACAUCAAAGACCGGGGCGAACCUGGCGCUUCUUGAUGACCCCGCCGGCCUAUCAGCUAGUUGGUGAGGUAACGGCCCACCAAGGCGAUGACGGGUAGCUGGUCUGAGAGGACGACCAGUCACACUGG
rnacentral:rRNA from 1 species